rnacentral:rRNA from 1 species
GAUGAACGCUAGCGGGAGGCCUAACACAUGCAAGCCGAGCGGUAUUUGUUCUUCGGAACAGAGAGAGCGGCGCACGGGUGCGGAACACGUGUGCAACCUGCCUUUAUCUGGGGGAUAGCCUUUCGAAAGGAAGAUUAAUACCCCAUAAUAUAUUGAGUGGCAUCAUUUGAUAUUGAAAACUCCGGUGGAUAGAGAUGGGCACGCGCAAGAUUAGAUAGUUGGUGAGGUAACGGCUCACCAAGUCAAUGAUCUUUAGGUGGCCUGAGAGGGUGAUCCCCCACACUGGUACUGAGACACGGACCAGACUCCUACGGGAGGCAGCAGUGAGGAAUAUUGGACAAUGGGUUAGCGCCUGAUCCAGCCAUCCCGCGUGAAGGACGACGGCCCUAUGGGUUGUAAACUUCUUUUGUAUAGGGAUAAACCUACUCUCGUGAGAGUAGCUGAAGGUACUAUACGAAUAAGCACCGGCUAACUCCGUG